CCAUCUGACUGCAACUGCCUGAGGAACCCCAAACCACAACCAACUGAGCUGAGUCAACUCCUAGAAUCAUCAGCAAGACAGAUUUUUUUUUUUCAAUUUUAUGGCACUAUUUUGGGGUGGAUUGAUCUAGAAUCCUAUCCCCAAUCUUGGCAGCCCAGGGUCCAUCUCUCUGUUUUUUUGGUUCAUGCUGGGGUCUGCAGAUCUCCAGCUGGGGUAAAGCAUAGCCACAAGUGACCCACUCAGCCCAGACAGAGAGAAAGUAGAGAAAGGGCUGCAUGCAGAGACCUCAGCUUCUGGAGAGGCCUCUGAUCCGCUGUGGGCUCCUGGUACUCCUGUUCCCCACCGAGCCCAUGCUGUCAGCUCUGAGCUGGGCUCCAUAUUUGAUCUUGUUCCAGGGGAAAGCAGACAUGUGGGCCAAAACCUUCCAUCCUGCUCCAUGAGGAGGCUCUACCAUCCAGUUGUACAUAAUGUUCUAGAUAGAAUUCAUCCUUCGAUUUUAGAGAACACGAACUCAUGUUUUGGAUAUCUAGUAGGUUUGGGAGUUACAUCUCUUUCCCUUAUAUCAUUUUGGAGGUCUUCCACCGAGAGUACUGGUCAGAGACUCAAAGCUAUAUGGCUACCAAGAUGACAAUGCCUGGCGCCUAUCAAGGGCCCUUAGAUAGACCCUCUGGAGAGUAACUCUGACUGCUGAUCACAACUACAACCCUCUUCAGCUGGAAGUAGCCAGAAUGGUCUUUGCCCUUUACCCCCUCACAGCAGUUAGGGGUAUUUCUUCAGAGGGGGAAAUAUUGCAGAUAGGUAAGUUAAUUAGAUAUCUUGUGUGCAGUUAGACAGGACCAGCCCCCCAGGAGCCAAUACAGCAAGGAACCCACAUGGAGAACAAUUGAGGCACAUUCACUGGUUAGCAUUAUAAAAAGAAGAGGCACUACUUCCCCUAGAGAUAGACAGCAGUGAUUGAUAUUCUAAAUGGGAAAUUCCUUGUAUGGAUUUGUCAUCCCAUUUGAUCCCCAUUUAAUCAAUAUUACCUGGGUGACUGUACUUGUAAUCUUAUUGGUUGGUCAUGGUUUUGUCCCACCUCAUGCCCACCUGUAAACUUUCAUUGGGUGUUAUAGCUUUGUCCCACUUUGUACCCGGCUCACAACAUGGCUGUGCUGUAUAAAAUAUCUUUGAAAAGUGGGGUGAGUGGGCAACCCACUUUCUGGUCCCCCUUCUGUCUCUCUCAGGUAGAAGCUUUCUUUCUCCCAAUAAAGUUUUCC
rnacentral:lncRNA from 1 species